GACGAACGCUGGCGGCGUGCUUAACACAUGCAAGUCGAACGGUGAACCAGGGCUUGCCCUGGGGAUCAGUGGCGAACGGGUGAGUAACACGUGGGCAACCUGCCCCUGACUCUGGGAUAACUUCGGGAAACCGAAGCUAAUACCGGAUACGACCUCUGACGGCAUCGUCGGAGGGGGAACGUUUUUCGGUCAGGGAUGGGCCCGCGGCCUAUCAGCUUGUUGGUGGGGUAAUGGCCCACCAAGGCGACGACGGGUAGCCGGCCUGAGAGGGCGACCGGCCACACUGGGACUGAGACACGGCCCAGACUCCUACGGGAGGCAGCAGUGGGGAAUAUUGCGCAAUGGGCGAAAGCCUGACGCAGCGACGCCGCGUGAGGGAUGAAGGCCUUCGGGUUGUAAACCUCUUUCAGCAGGGACGAAGCGAAAGUGACUGUACCUGCAGAAGAAGCACCGGCUAACUACGUGCCAGCCGCCGCAGUAA
rnacentral:rRNA from 1 species